GAUAUAAGGAAUUUGAUUUAUUUAUGCUAUGAUUGAAUAAGGUGAUUUAGGAAUGAUUUAAUUCAAACUAUUUAAAUGAAAGUUUAUCCACUCUUCAGUUGAUUAGAUUUAUUAAUGAAGACUAAGUUCAUGAAAGGCCAUUUUUUAAUUAAUUCGAUUGCUUCAUAAAGAUUGGUUUCACGAAUUUAUUUGAAAACUUAUUUGAAGUAGAUUUAACACCCUUUUAUAGGUACUUCAAAUCCAAAUUUUUAUUCAUAUUCAUAAACCUAACAUGAAUUCGAGAAUCUAAU
rnacentral:misc_RNA from 1 species